rnacentral:lncRNA from 1 species
UAUAGUGGAGAUGAUGUAACUGAAGACAGCAAUCAUUCUUUUGACACAAAAUAAUAAACCACAAGUCUUACUAGGACUCUUUGAUUCCUAGUAAGAUUCCUAGUUUAAUGUAACAUGAAAUCAGGUUAUUUUUUUCUUGAAUUAGAGAUAGAAAUAUUAGAAUAUCAAAAAUAAGGUAUAAAAAUGUGAGCUAUUUCAAUUAUUUGUUCUGAUAUUGCACUAUUCAUACAGUAGUAAUAACAUAGGAUUUUUGAGGCUAGUGGUUUGUUUUUUGGGGGGGAAGUUUUUUUUGUUUUUUUUGUUUUUUUUUGUUUGUUUGUUUUUUGCCUUUCUAGGGCUACUCCCGCAGCAUUUGGAGGUUCCCAGGCUAGGUGUCUAAUCAGAACUGCAGCCACCGGCCUACACCAGAGCCACAGCAACUCGGGACCCGAGCCACCUCUGUGACCUACACCACAGCUCACGGCAAUGCCAGAUCCUUAACCCACUGAGCAAGGCCAGGGAUCGAACCCGCAACCUCAUGGUUCCUAGUUGGAUUUGUUAACCACUGAGCCAUGACGGGAACUCCCGCCAGUGGUUUUUAAAGAGCAGACCUUUAACAGCAUCAGCAUCACCUGAGAACAUGAUAGAAAAUCAGUUCAGGCCCAUCCUAUUGAAUCAGACACUCUGAGAUUAAGGACAAGCCAUCUGGAAUUACACACCCUUAGGGUAAUUCUACUACCUGCUAAAAGUUGAAACCUCUGCUCCAGUAAAGUCUGCAUUUCAUGUCUUGUCUGCUUGUUCAUUUUUUAAUAGUCACUCAUUUGCCUGCUAUAUACAUUUUGAAACAACAUAUCAAAAUAUCCCUAUGCAAAAUGAGGGAUUUUCAAAAUUAUAAAGGAAUAAGGACAUUAAACAAAUAAUCCAAAGUACAAAUAAUCAGAAGCACAAAGACUUGCUACUGUAAUUCUGUGUAAAUUAACCCAAAUAUCUUGUAAUGAGCCUAAGGGCUUGACUAGGAUCAGUAAUGUGAAAAUCUGACAAUUUUUAUGUUUUGCAGGUUCACUUUUGUGUUGGUCAUAGGGGCAGUAUCCUCAGGCAAACUGUCUAUUCACAUUAGUAUGGGUUUCCUAGGGCUUCCAUUAUAAAGUUCCAACAAACAGCUGUCUUAAAAUAAAAGAAGUAUAUACUCUCAUAUUCUUGACACUACAAGGCAACAAAGUUGGUUCCUUCCAUGGGUUCUAAGGUGAAAACUCUUUCUUGGUUGUAGGCAGUCCUUCUUACCAUCUAACUUAAAUAAUGUUUUGUAAAGUUAGCUAUUAUUAAUACAACUUAGAUGAUAAGAGAGUAACAAAGGGAAGAAAAGAUAGAUUUUAUAAAUUUAUUCAAAACAAAUAUGCAUACAUAGUCACAACAAAUAAGAAAGAACUGCUUAUAGCAGUUAGAGUCUAUGCUGCAACUAGUCACUGGUCAUAACUAACAUUUAUAAUUACUUUCUUCCACUACUCACUUAUGAUUCCCUGUGCUCUCAGCAAGCACCUCGGCUGGUCAUGGUUCUUCGUGUGGUAAAUUGAUCCACACCUUCAUUCCUGAAAAGUCUGCACCAUUAGUAGGUCUUGCAUGGAUUGGGUAUUUAAAAUUUUCCUUUGACUUUACUUUUAAUCUCUGCAGUAUAUGAAGAGGAAUAUCAUUCAAUGCAGGAGUUAAGCUUGUUCUCUGUAGUAGCGGAGACUGCUCAAUAUCCAAUUAAUCUCUAAACAAUAUGUGUUGACUAUAGCAUUGACUUAUCCAUGUGACUUUCUCCCACACCUACUUUUAAAUAUUUACUAAAAUCUACUUUCUAUUUAGGCAAGGCUUGCCACUGUAUGUAAUAUCACUUCUCCCAUAAUUUUCUCAUCACGUUUCCUUCUCAUCCCACAUCUCUUCAUUUUUCUCCAUAAUACCUACCAUGUUCUAACAAAUUCCAUAUCUUACCUACUUUUUAACAGAACCAUAACAUGUCAAUAGGAUUAGAGGUUAUCUGGCCAGGCAGCAGGUAGCUAGUUUCUACCGUAGUUUUGACCCUCAAACAAGUAACUGAUCAUCAAAGAAUGCUUUCUGUGUUCUAACAGAUGCUAAACCCCAGUGAACACAUUACUGCAAGACUGGGGAUUUCUUUGUGCGAGAUUGAAGUUUAUGCAUUCCUCUUUAUUCACCGGAUACACUCAGUCUGAGAAAUCUUUUAUUCCCAUUUCGUAGCCAUAUUUGAGCAUGGUUUCAAAACAUGUACAAUGAUAUGCCAUUAUUUCCUUUACUAAAAAUAAAUAAAUAUCAGUGUCAAGUAACAUUACAUUUUCAUCAUUAAGCUGUUUGCUAUUAUCUUCACAGAUUAUUUUAAAUUAAACAGUCAUAAAGUCAGAGGUUCGGUUUAUUCAUCAUUCUAAUAAUGCCAUUUAGAUAUACUGCUUGAAAAGUAUACUUAUUAAAUAAAACGUCUUUUUUGGCAUUAUCUGCAUCUUAAAUGUACACUUAAUUUCUCAUUUAAGCAACUCAUGUGAACACUGUUCUACUUAACAAUUAAGAUGUUUAUUCAACAUAUAUAUAUUGUUAAAGGGGGACUUUUUCAAUUAUUAUUUCUUUGGAAAAUACAUUAAAAACUCAGUGAUUGUGAAGUGUUCAUAUUAUUUAAUUCCAUUAUAUUUUUCAAAUUGAAUAAAUAACGAUAGAGCUUUAUUACCAGCAGACAGUUUUUCUGUCAGUAAAGCAAAUAUAUAUUAGAAUUUUAGGACAAGUUGCUUUACAUAGAGUUUUUACUAAUAAAAACUAUGAAGACAUUUUAUAGUCUAAAUCAUGGUUUACAAAAUAACCAUUAAAUACAUUUUUAAAAAAAACCUCUUUUAUGACUAACAUUGAAUGUGGGGGAAAGAAAAAAAAUCUAAGCACAUUUCCUUUUUAUAUGAACUAUUCAUAUGGCAAAGGCUAAUUUAUAGUCUCUAAGUCAAUGUUUUUUGUCCAAAUGCAAAUGAAAGACUCUCCUAGCAUGCAUAUGUAAUAUAAUUGCUUUUCCACAUUAAAGGCAUUAAUAUUAUAUGAAGCCUAGCUGUCAUUUGAUAGAGGAAUCUUGCCAAUAGCUUAUUCUGCUUUCUCCGUAAUAAUAAUAUUUUCAUUAAUAUUAUAUCUGAUGUUAUUAACUCCUCAAAAGAAGUUUAACUCAGACAUGUUUUUCUGCAAGUGAGAAGAUUCUGAGUGAUGUUUCUUUUCUGGGGUGUGCUCUUGCUUUUAGCAACAAAAUUAAUAAAUUUUACAUGCAUGAACAUUACUUUGGUUUUCUUCUAGAAAAAACAUUAUUUGGUUUGUGGAGGACUUGCUUUACUGUAUUUAAAAAAAAAGACAGUUUUGAUGCUUGAUGAUGCUAUUUGAAGAUUCAUAAAAGAUAACCUCCUGGCCAGUAUUUUAAUGAAAUCCAAUCAAUAUCAUAUUUCAGAUAUCACACUUCCAAUUCUCAUUUUUAAGUUUUUAUUUUGUUUGAGUUGCUGUUCAAAACCAUCAUAUUUACUGAUUCACUUAUAUCACCACUCAAGAUAAAAUUUUUUAUAUUAAAGUUCAGUUUUACCCUUAAUUUAAUAAUAUCAUAUUGAAUGGCAUUUAUUUUCUUCAUUAUUUUACUUUUUCAUAAAUUAUGAAAUGUUGGCCUAAUUUUAUUAUAGCUCAAGAGUAUGAAAACUAAAAAUAUAACAACUUGGGCAUAGCAAAAGUAGAAUAAAUAUGUGAUGGGCAGUAACAUUUUUACAUUAGGUUAACAGAGAUAGUCUAACAAUCAUUGUGCAUAUCAUGUAUUGAUCAGUUGUACCUACAUGUUUCGUAAAGGAAUCAUAUUUCAUUAAAAGUCAUAAUCCAUUAUAUACUAAAGUUUUUAAAAUGAUGAAAUUGUUAGGUUGCUAUUCUGUUUUAAAAUCACCAAAUAACCCAAGAACCAUACAAUGUACAGAAUAAUAACAAAUGGUCCUCAGACUAAAUUUCUUAAUGCCUGUCCCAGUCAAAAUGAUUGUGAUUUUUUAAAUUAAAUCUAUAAUAAUUUUAUCAACUGAAUAUUUAUUGAGCUACAUUUGCACUAGGUGUUGACAAGGCAUGAGUCAGAUAUAACUAUUAUUCAAAAUUACAGCUUUAUUAAGCUGCUGCUUUCUUCAGUAAUUCAGCUUCUUCAUUACCACUACAUGUGAAUUACACUAACACUUGGGAUUACAGAAAAUAAUUAUUAAAUAAGUAACAUAAUAUACAUAUUAAUAUUCAUUAGUAAAUGCAAAUUAAAUGAUUAAAAGUUUCUCAGCGAUGUUUCAUAGAUGAUGUCCCCAAUGUCUAUUAAUUAUACUUGGAUUUAAUUAUAAAGUCAGCUGUGAGGCAACUAAACAUCAGGAGAGCAGUUGUUUUGUAUAUUGCGUUUUUGAUACUGGGCUUUGUGAUCAGUUAUAUACUUAACUAUGAAAUAUGAAAUUCUAACCCCACAUUUAAAUUGUGUUGUGCUAUCAUAUAUGAGUGAGAUCAACUGAAAAUAUGAUUGAAUUUAAAAAUAGAUUAUGGCAGAUAUAUGCUAUUUAUUGUAAUAUUUCCUAAUUGUAGGUUUAUAACCUUACUGUACUUCAGUAUAAUGUCAUAUAUGUGUGUGUGUGUGUAUAUAAUUUUUUUUUCUUUUUAGGGCCAUUCCUGUGGCAUAUGGAAGUUCCUAGGCUAGGGGUCAAAUUGGAGCUCCAGCUACAGGCCUAUACCACAGCCACAGCAACACCAGAUUCAAGCUACAUCUGUGACCUAUGCCUCAGUUUGCAGCAACAUCAGAUCCUUCACCCUCUGAAUGAAGCCAGAGAUUGAACCCACAUCCUCAUGGAUACUACUCUGGUUCUUAACCAAGUCACUAUGGGAACUCCAUGUUCAUGUUUUUUUAGAUUUAAUAAAAAUUGUUGUCUAUGAAAAUUUUAGUAUAAAUAAUACAGAUUUCUAAGUUUGGAUAAUUCCAUUAUUUGUUACAUUUGUACUUCCCCUAAUCUAAGUCUUUUUACUGUACCAAGACUGAAAUCCCUCUUUCAGGAAAAAGCUGAUUUUUUAAAACAUGGCUUGGGAGUUCCCUUUGUGGCUCAGUGGUUCACAAACCCAACUAAGAACCAUGAGGAUGCAGGUUUGAUCCCUGGCCUCUCUCAGUGGGUUAAGGAUCUGGUGUUGCUGUGAGCUGUGGUGUAGUUUGCAGACGCGGCUCGGAUUUGGUGUGGUUGUGGCUAUGGUAUAGGCUGGCACUGUAGCUCUGAUUUAACUCCUAGCCUGGGAAUCUCCAUAUGCUGCAAGUGUGGACCUGAAAAGAAAAAAAAAAAAAAA